rnacentral:lncRNA from 1 species
AAAUAAAAUAAAAUUUCAGAACAGCCGGAACCGGAACCGCAAGAACCGGAACCGUAUGGUACCUGGAACCGUCACGGGCCGGUUCCACUUUCAGAACCGCCAGAACCGGAACCGGAUACAGCCUUAGCUUUUGAUGCCCUCUUAACAUGGUCGUCAUUCCGGCACCGACGCAACCACCAAUCACUACUACUCCAGCCUGGCCACCUCCCUCACCACACUCACCUCGGGCUCUUUACUCUCACCUGCUCUUCUAAUCUCCAGAUCUUUCAUAAAGCCCUUAUUUUCUUGAGGGAACAUGGGUUCAAAGAUGUUAACAACAAAAGAGAAAGCAAAGUUCACAAUUUUUGGGAUCUUUCCGAAACUAAAACAAAUUUCAUUGGGAAAGAGAGAGAAAUCUCCAUUGAUUGCAUAACAGGGGAAGAUCCAAGGUUGUAUUUCAGCAUGGGCAGCAAAAAGGUAUUGAAGAUUAAGCACUUGAAAUGAAAAAUUAGAGGCAAUGAGAGGAUUGAAGUUGAUGAGUUUUAUGGGAUGUCAUAACUGGUUCUUUGAUGAUUACGAAAAUGGCUAUACUUUGUUGAUGUUCAAAUUCGAGAAAUCAAGUUAUGACGCUGUUGCUGAUGACCACAACUUGAAUAAUGGAGUCCAAAUGUGGUCCCAACAAUAUUUUGGGUUCGGGUUCGAGACAAAGUUGAUGAAGAAUUGUUUAUUGAGAAGUUGAAAAAGUUCAUCUUCUUAGUCUCUAUCUUUGGCAUCUUCAAGGUGUACAACUCCGUUAUGGAAUGGCCCAACACUAAAGAAAAUGAAUUGAAGGGUCUUUUGAAUUUUCCUUGCCGGUACAUGCUUGGAAGAGAUGAGCAAAUUAAGUUCCAAGCAAGGAAAUUAAAAUUACAAUUGUCUUCUUCACUAGCGGGUCGGGCUACGGUAAUUGAGUUAUAAGCCGGGUAGAUUAAAUUGGGGUGAGAGGAGUUGUCACGUGGUCCUCCGUAAAAAAUAAGAGCAAAUAUGACUCGUAGUAUAAUGAUAGGGUCUGAAAGAGCAAAAUAGUAUAACUAAGGUUAGUUUAAACAAUUUUUAAUAGAAAAGGAAUAUAUUUGACCAUUUUCCAAAAAAAUACAGAUGGAUGACUCCACUGGUAAAGAAAUUCGAUAUCCAAUAGAAUUGGUUACGUACUUGUAUAAUUUCUAAUUUCCCGAGAAAGUAUUAAUUAUUAUUAAUUGUAAUCACAAUUUAAUGUUUGUUCUAGAUGUCAUACCUCUUUUUUGCAUCUGAAAGAUAUAUAAGGAAAUUUUUCUAAUUAAAGUGACGUUAUUCGAAAUGAGAUUAUUUAUUCAACUUUAUUCAGAGUCGUCACUUGGGAUAGUUUAUUUGAUGUGCCAAGUCACCGGUUUAUUUUUAAAUCCUAGAUCGAGGAAAUUUAACUUUUCUUUUGAAGUAUACGAACCAGAAAUUCUAAAUAAGAAAUUUUAUUAACCCGAGGGAAGAUGUUAGGCACUCUCGAAUUUCAUGAUUCUAGCACGAUUGUUUAAACUAUUUUAAUUGGCCUAUUAUAUGAUUUUUAAUACAUGUUUUAGCCUAUGGUAUAAUUUUAACUUAUUAACCGCUUUUUAAUUAUUUUUAGGAAGAUUCGAUGUUAUCUAACACACAUCUUAAAUCACGCCAAUGAAAUGCACCCACAGUCCACAUCACAUUUUAUUUAACUUUAUUGAGAUUUGGAUUUUGGUCACAUGAAAUGUACACCCGAGUUUAAGGAAGUUAAUUUAAAUUAAGCAUCUGAAGCAAUUACGCACUUUUAAGUUUGCGCAGGCCAUGAAAAAUUUGGCUAAAUGGCACACCUUGAUUUCUAAAAGAAUAAAUUAAUUGAGGGCCAUGAGUUUUAAAAUUUUAUUUGGCAUGACACGCCUCAAAUUAUUAAAGGUUCUAAUUAAUUUAUUGAAAGGCCAAGGGAAUUUCAAAUUUAUUCUUUUAUGGGGGCUACUAUUUAAACUCUACAAACGAUCAGCUAACAAUUGAGGAAUCAAGCUGAUGUUGAGGGGUUCUGGGCUCGCAAUUGAGCCCAAAGCAAAAGAAGAACCAAAUUUGUUCUCUCUAGGCCUUACAAAAAAUAGACCAUUUCAUACGGCCCAAACCGUCUCUGUAUUUAAGCUAAACAUUUAAGGUUUGCCCAUAGCAAUUUUUUAACAUUCAAAUUGUUUUAAAUAUACAAAUUGCAAAGAAAGAAUGUGAUACCAAAACUGAAAAUGGCUAUACAGAAUUACCUAUAUUACCAUUAACGAGACACCCAAAUUUUGGAUAUGAGUUAUGCUAAUCAAUCACAACAACUCAAGAUCACACAGAAAUCUGUUGUUUAAGAAGGAGAAACUUUAACUAACUUCGGUUUUUUAAAAGCAAACAAACUAAAACGACAUCAAAGAAUGCAUUUACUAAUACCUAUAAACUCCAAGCCCUUGAAGAAUGAAAGAAUGCUAACUUAUUAAGGUUUGAAACCCAGUCUUUUCAACAGAAUUCCUAACAUCAAGGCUUAAUGCUUUUACCCCUGUUAUUUACAAACCAAACAUCAGAUUCUGAUGUUAUUUAAACCAAAAUUAUAACAAAACAAAUCAUAAAGGUUUACUUAGAACAGAGCGCCACCAUACAGCUCACAUGUUAUUCAACUAAGUUAUGUCCAUAUCCCAACAGUCCAAAGUUAAAUACAAUAGCAAGAAUUCAAUUAUUAAAACCAAAAAUAAACUAGCAAAUACAGUAAAUCUGGAAAUAAAACACAAUAUAUUUUAGAGAAAUACAACUGAACUAUUAACAGAUAACUUGAUGUUAUGCUCUUAACUCCAUUUUUCAUUUCAUACUUCAAAUUUUGCUUCACAUCUAGUAUAGUUCAAGAAUAAGUACCUGAUUGCAGCAAUCAAAAAUAAGGACAAAUGAGUGUGAAGUCUAGAGGAAACAUCAACAACAGAACCAACUUAGAAUCCCAACAAUACCAACGUAAACCAACUUCUUAAAACCAAAAGAAAAACUAAAUGAAAACCAGUCUUUGAAGAACCCAAAACUCUGAUUAAAUACGCUUUAAAGCAGAUUUGAAUCAAUUUGAACCAAAGCAAGAAUUCCAGUUUCUUGCAAAGCUUUUCAGACUCCUGCCCUUUUUUAGUUUUUUAAUAUUUUUAAUCUCUAAUUCUGACUUGUUGGUGAAGAAACUAUGCCUUUAUAGGCAAGCCUUACGGCAACAGAAAGUGAAUUCGGUUUAGCUCUUUAAUCAUUUUGAUAUUUUCAUUUUUGCUCCUCUACCCUUAGUUUAAAAUUAGCUUUUUAAGUUAGUCCCUAAACCCACCUUCUAGGAAACUUCCUAAGUUAGUUAUGCAAGAUUCUCUAAGCUAAAAUCCCUAAACUACCCUUAAAACCUCUAUUAUUUACCCUUCUAACCUAAACUAACAAAAUCCUAGGGCUAUUGUUGGGACGGGUAAAAAAUAAACCGAGGGCCCAAAAUUUCCAACUAGCCCAUGAGUAUUCGAAAAUCUGACCUAGACAAAAUAACACUCAAACGAUGGCUCCAAAAGAACAAAAACAAUUUUAAUACUUACUCUGAAAAUAAACUGAAUUAAUUCUGUUCCUUUAACAAAAAUUAUCCAAGAUUAACUCAUGGCUACUGUUUAUAUGAAUUUAAACUGAUUAAAAACAGAAACAGAGGGAAAAGAAAAUGAAAGAAUAAAAUGGAGGAGAAACAGAAACCGGGAAACACACGGACAAGGAAUACCUAAGGUCGGAGACAAACGGACUUGAAAAUAUUGUCCGGCAGCUUCUGAUUUGACCCAAACUGGUAUCAAUCACAUGUUCUCUUUUGAGAACAAAUGAACAAUACUAGUUUCAGGCCCAAUCGUUCAUAGAAACUUGAAGACUUGAAAGAUCUUCUUUUCUUCAUUUUUAGAUCUGAAACUGACCCGAUUUGGUGAGGACUUGGGGAGAAGAGGUGGUAGAUUGGGACUCAGGGAUGAAUGGUGGUUGUGUGGUUAAAUUUUUAUGGUGAUUUGAGCUCCGCCUCUAGCGAAAGAUGGUGAAACAUUCACGGCGCGGGUCUAGGGUUAGAGAUGAGGGAGAUAAAGUGAAGGGGUGCUUGGGAACUGACUUGUCUCUGGGGACUUGGACAGUCUUAAGCGAAAAUAG